CGUCUACUAUGUAAUAGAUAAAUUGAAAACUUAUGCAAAUAGUGUUUUUACAAUAAAACACUUUGUAAUCGAGAAGAAAAUUGUCGUUUUAUUUGUUUCUAUUAACUUUUAAAAUUUUGGUUACUAUAGUAAACAUUACAGUAAGCAUUUAUCGCCUUCUCUAACAUGUCUAACAAAGAGCUUCGAUUCUUUUGUUCUAUUUCAACUGGGUUUCCACCUGCAUAGGCCUAUGUUGUCUUUUUUUUAUAUAGUAUAACAUAUGUUUACAAAGAAAGAUAAAUAUAUGAAUGCAUUUAAAAUAAAAUAUUUUAAAGCAUAAAGUAUUUAAAUAAUUAGCAAGAGAUGAUGAGACUAUGUUUUUUUUAAUAUUUGAUAAUGUCAUGCGUACAUCUGUACAUUGUAACUGAAGAGCAAGUAUCAAAUUUAUAUCGUCACCACCGGGAUUCGAACCCCGGUCGCCUGCGUGACAGUCAGUGCGUUAACCCACUGAGCCAAAAAAUCGAUUCCCUCGCUCAAAUGAUUAAGACUGGCUUUAUAUGUUCUACCUGUACUAAGGAGGGGAAGCAACCCCGCUACACUAUUCCCCCACCGCAAGAGUCAUCAUAUCUUUAUACAUGUAUUA
rnacentral:lncRNA from 1 species